rnacentral:rRNA from 1 species
AAUUCGAUUAACGCGAAGAACCUUACCCGGGCUUGAACUGCAGGAGAAGGCGGCAGAGAUGCCAACGUCCUUCGGGACUCCUGUGGAGGUGCUGCAUGGUUGUCGUCAGCUCGUGCCGUGAGGUGUCGGCUUAAGUGCCAUAACGAGCGCAACCCCUUUCGUCAGUUGCCAUCAGGUGAUGCUGGGCACUCUGGUGAUACUGCCACCGUAAGGUGUGAGGAAGGUGGGGAUGACGUCAAAUCAGCACGGCCCUUACGUCCGGGGCUACACACGUGUUACAAUGGGGUAUACGGAAGGCGGGAUCACGGCAACGUGGUUCAAAUCUUUAAAGUGCUCCUCAGUUCGGAUUGGGGUCUGCAACCCGACCUCAUGAAGCUGGAUUCGCUAGUAAUCGCGCAUCAGCCAUGGCGCGGUGAAUACGUUCCCGGGUCUUGUACACACCG